UACGUUCCCGGGUCUUGUACACACCGCCCGUCAAGCCAUGGAAGCUGGGGGUGCCUGAAGUCGGUGACCGCAAGGAGCUGCCUAGGGUAAAACUAGUAACUAGGGCU
rnacentral:rRNA from 1 species